CACACACUGCCUUAGAUCCGCUCCUCGGACGGGGCCUGUCACAGUGGAGUACGCCCUCUAGGGUUGCCUCCCUGUCCAGUCUCCGUUCAGCAACACUUGUCAAUGUUGUGUUCCAUGGGGAGUGCUUGAGUCAUUAGUGUGUGAGAGUAGAAUACCUCCACUGUGAGCUGGUAGUGCGUUGUGUGCAGACCUACCCCCACCCCAACCAGUGGAGGGGGAACUGCCUCCCAAGGCAGUUGGUCAACUGAUUACACAUGAUGUCAGGCUUGUGGUGGGGACAUU
rnacentral:snoRNA from 1 species